rnacentral:rRNA from 1 species
CAGUAGCCGCGGUAAUACGUAGGUGGCAAGCGUUGUCCGGAAUUAUUGGGCGUAAAGGGCUCGCAGGCGGUUUCUUAAGUCUGAUGUGAAAGCCCCCGGCUCAACCAGGGAGGGUCAUUGGAAACUGGGAAACUUGAGUGCAGAAGAGGAGAGUGGAAUUCCACGUGUAGCGGUGAAAUGCGUAGAGAUGUGGAGGAACACCAGUGGCGAAGGCGACUCUCUGGUCUGUAACUGACGCUGAGGAGCGAAAGCGUGGGGAGCGAACAGGAUUAGAUACCCCCGUAGUCCCUGUCUCUUAUAC